GCCCCCGUAGCCCAACCGGCAGAGGCACGGGUCUCAAAAUCCCGACGGUGUGGGUUCGAAUCCCACCGGGGGCACCG
rnacentral:tRNA from 1 species